rnacentral:sRNA from 1 species
CCCAGGGCGUUGCCUGGGCUGAUAUGUUACGCCCUUUCAGGGCU